rnacentral:rRNA from 1 species
CGAACGGGGUUUAGGAGCUUGCUCCUAGACCUAGUGGCGAACGGGUGAGUAACGCGUGAGUAACCUGCCCAUAUCAGGGGAAUAACACAGUGAAAACUGUGCUAAUACCGCAUAAGACCACAGAGAGGCAUCUCUCAGGGGUAAAAGAUUUAUCGGAUAUGGAUGGGCUCGCGUCCUAUUAGGUAGUUGGUGAGGUAACGGCUCACCAAGCCCGCGAUAGGUAGCCGACCUUAGAGGGUGAUCGGCCACAUUGGAACUGAGAAACGGUCCAGACUCCUACGGGAGGCAGCAGUGGGGAAUAUUGGGCAAUGGAGGCAACUCUGACCCAGCAACGCCGCGUGAAUGAUGAAGGUCUUCGGAUUGUAAAGUUCUGUGAUGGGGGAUGAACACAAUGACGGUACCCCAAUAGCAAGCCACGGCUAACUACGUGCCAGCAGCCGCGGUAAUACGUAGGUGGCAAGCGUUAUCCGGAAUGACUGGGCGUAAAGGGUGCGUAGGUGGUUUAGUAAGUUGGCGGUGUAAUUCCGGGGCUCAACCUCGGCGCUACCGCCAAAACUAUUAGACUAGAGUGCAGGAGGGGUAAGUGGAAUUCCUAGUGUAGCGGUGGAAUGCGUAGAUAUUAGGAAGAACAUCAGGGGGCGAAGGCCACUUUCCUGGACUGGUAACUGACCCUGAAGGCACCAAAAGCGUGGGGAGCCCUUUUAAGGAGAUACCCUGGUAUUCCACGCCGUAAACGAUGAAUACUAGGUGUGGGGAGUAUCGACUCUCUCUGUGCCGUCGUUAACACAUUAAGUAUUCCGCCUGGGGAGUACGGCCGCAAGGUUGAAACUCAAAGAAAUUGACGGGGACCCGCACAAGCAGCGGAGCAUGUGGUUUAAUUCGAAGCAACGCGAAAAACCUUACCAGGACUUGACAUCGAGUGAAAGCCUAAGAGAUUAGGCCCUCCUUCGGGACACGAAGACAGGUGUUGCAUGGUUGUCGUCAGCUCGUGUCGUGAGAUGUUGGGUUAAGUCCCGCAACGAGCGCAACCCUCAUAUACAGUUGCCAAUAUUUAGUUAGGAACUCUGUAUAGACUGCCGUGGUUAACACGGAGGAAGGUGGGGAUGACGUCAAAUCAUCACGGCCCUUACGUCCUGGGCUACACACGUGCUACAAUGGCUAUUACAAAGAGUAGCGAUACAGUAAUGUGGAGCGAAUCUCAAAAAGAUAGUCUCAGUUCGGAUUGUGGGCUGCAACUCGCCCACAUGAAGUCGGAGUUGCUAGUAAUC